GACGUAGGGAGCAAGCGUUGUCCGGAAUCAUUGGGCGUAAAGCGCGCGUAGGUGGCCCCAUAAGUCCGCUGUGAAAGUCAAAGGCUCAACCUUUGAAAGCCGGUGGAUACUGUGGGACUAGAGUACGGAAGAGGCGAGUGGAAUUCCUGGUGUAGCGGUGGAAUGCGCAGAUAUCAGGAGGAACACCAAUAGCGAAGGCAGCUCGCUGGGACGUUACUGACACUGAGGCGCGAAAGCGUGGGGAGCGAACAGG
rnacentral:rRNA from 1 species